UACGUAGGGUGCGAGCGUUGUCCGGAAUUACUGGGCGUAAAGAGCUCGUAGGUGGUUUGUCGCGUUGUUCGUGAAAACCGGGGGCUUAACCCUCGGCGUGCGGGCGAUACGGGCAGACUGGAGUACUGCAGGGGAGACUGGAAGUUCCUGGUGUAGCGGUGGAAUGCGCAGAUAUCAGGAGGAACACCGGUGGCGAAGGCGGGUC
rnacentral:rRNA from 1 species